CCAACGACCAUCGAUCAACGCAAAACCCCAGACAAGAGUAACCAAUUCAACUACUGUCGUUAUUAAAACACAAAACUAAGGGCAAUUAGGUAAAAACACAAUCUUUCAGUUUCUGACAGGCCGUGUACCAGAAAGUUGCCAAGGAGGUGGAGAGGAAACACUACCCUCCAUUUUCGAUCUUUGGGCUCACAAUUUUCUUGUCCCAAAUUCAAAAUAAUGGCAGAAUCAGAGAAAAUGGUGGCAUUGAAGAAGGCUUACGCGGAAAUGAUACUGAACACAGCAAAGGAGGCAGCGAGUCAAGUGAUGGCGUCGGAGAAGAAAGCGUUUCGCUAUCAGCAGGAUCUUCUUACUACAAAAGAAGAGGCGCUUCGUUUGCUUGUCCGCUUGAAGCAAAUGAUCGAUGCUAAGAUUAUUGAAGCAGAGAUAGCAUCCUCAAGCCAGCAAACUAAAAUUGAUGAGCUUGAAGCACAGCUCCAAGAAGCAGAGAGUGUCAUAAUAGAUCUAAGAGCAGAGUUAAAAUGGGUACGUGAUAAGUUAGAGAAGGCUAGGAACAAUAAUGCCCAGCCUUUGGAUGCAAACAUCACAAGUGACAAUGAACCACCCUCCUGCCAAAAUGCAACACCUAAGCCCAAUGUACAUUCUCCUAAUUUGGGGUUGCAACCAGUAACAACUUCUGACAUGAACACAUUAUUUGAUCGAAGAAUUUUGGAUAAUGAGUGCUGUAAUACACAACAAACUGAGCAAUCAAGUGUUUCUCAGUAUGGAAGCUAUUCUUCUCAUAACACUGAAUUAGCUGCAGUAAUUAUAAGAAAAGAGAUACCAGAGCAUUGUAGAAAUGGAUGUACUCGAAGCAUUUGUGCAUUGGAAGGGAACUUACUGGCUGGGAAGUUGGCACCUUCUGGAGAAGUUGAUGAACAUGAAAUUAUAGAGAAUGAAUUGAUCAUAAACGAAACUAAUAAGGAGGAUGGAAAAUCUACUGUUUCUUCUUUGAAGAUGAACAACUUGGAAACAGAAAAAUUCUUUUCUGGGGAAGAACGAAGAAAACGUGUUAGGGUUCAUACAAUAAGACGAAGCAGGACUCGAUUUUGGAAACCUAAAGCUAAGCGCAAGUCUUGUACAAGUCAGCUUUUGGUAUCCUAUCAACCACCAUCCAUUCUUUCUCGUUGCAAAAGACACUUGGCAAAUAGGAAUGCUAAGCCUGAUGAACAUCAAUGCCUAGUCUCUAUUGAGAACAACAAUAUGGAAAUGGAGAAGCAUUCUAGUAAAUUUGAAAAAAAAUUGCAUUGUCAAAACAGCUGCAGUAUGGUUCAGAAAAUGAUUGUUCCUGAAAGGAAAAGACAAAGGAAGGUACCAAAUGGGGAUGCUGUGUCUACCUCAUGCGUGCUCUGUCCUGAUCAGCAUGAAACUUGUCAACCCUCUUCUCAAGGCCACUGUAAAGCUUGUUCACUUUCACUCAAUGAUGAGAUUAAAUCAGGUGAAGAUGGGACAAGGCUGAUAGAAAAUGAGGUUAAACUGAAGCCAUUGCCUCGUUUGGAUCCAGGGUCAAAAUUAAUUAAAUGUGGUUUAAAUCCUAUAUCUGACUCUAGAAAUGUCAAACUGACCGUUGGGUCUUUAAACAGAUCUGAUACUAUCCAGAAUACUUCAAACAAGGAUGUGAAGUUAGCAGAUGAUUUGGUAAAACAGGAAUGUGUAGCUGCUGCUAAUUCAACUUUUCCAUGUUAUGAAUCAAACACUCUGAUGGUUAACAUACCACUGGUAUACUCUGAUUUACAACAUCUCAAAUCAUCGAAAGAAGCUGUGGCUAAUGAACCAUUGGUGUAUUCUGAUCUAGAAGGUGCCAAACCGCCCAAAGAACCUAAGGUGUCUCAUAGUCAAGUAGACAACAAUAGGCUUCUUAAGUACACCUUCCAAAGGAAGCUCAAGAAAGAAGCCUUGAGCAGUUCUGAUCAAAACAGUUCACUUGAAAAGAGCAAUGCAAAAAGAAGAGCUGGUGAGAAGCAAAAUGGUUCACCAGACUCAGAGAAGUCUAGCAUGAUUAAUGAAUCAUCUAGGGACAGUAGGCGAUUGGCUCAGGUUGCUCAUCAGGUCUGUACACAAUUAUAUGUCACAUAUCAGAGGAGAAAGUGGCAUAAGAAGAAAGAGCCAGAAUUACAGCAACAGUAACAGUAAAAGUAAUAGUAAUAAGUGGGUCAAACUGUAUGGGAUAUGGGUAUGAGCGGGAUUAGUAUACAGCUGUAAUAGUUAGUUAUAACAACCAUAGCUAUAAAUAGAGGGAGAAUCAUACGGAAAGGCAUGCAGAAAUUGCUAUAAGAAAUAUUAUUCUUCUCUCCUCUAAAAUUUCCUCUUCUCUCAUCUUUUCUUCUUCAAAUCCCUCUCCUACUUUUCUAAUUUCUUGUUGAGGAUUUCUUCCUUAACAAUUGGUAUCAGAGCCUAUUAGGUUUGUGGUUGAGAGUCGACAGAGUGUUUUCCACUGCGACAAAUGAUGAGAUCAUCAGUGGUAGUGAGUUUCGAUGCUAUAAAGAAUGUGGAAUUGGAGGAGCAACUCAAAACUCUUCAAGAGGAUUCUAAAACGAUUGUCGAGAAGUUCAGUGGUAAUUUGUGAAAUGAAUUUAAGCAAUCUGCGAAAGAAAACAAGGAUGCUAUUCUGGGUGAAUUACGCUCCUUAUUGGUGCAUCUAGUUGGGGAUAAAGGAAAAGGGACCUAAGUGGAAGGGGAUACAUCAUCUGGAAGUGGUAAAAAUAGCGGGAGUAGGGGAAUCUUAACCAUUCCAGAGAAGAAGGGCCUCGGAUCUACAAAGAUUUGGAAGGUAUGUCUAAAUUAUUGCCUAAAAUUGAAUUAAUUGCAUUUGAAGGGAUUGAUCUAAGAUUUUGGAUUAGAAGGUGUGAGAAGUACUUUGAAGUGUAUUGUGUAUCGAGGGAUUAGAAGGUGAAUAUUGUUGGGCUAUUUUUGAUUGAAAGAGCUGAUGUGUGGUUUUAAAAAAUUAGAUUAAGAUUGGAUCCAAUUUCUAAGAAGAGUUUGUCAGGGGUCUUUAUAACAGGUUUGGGGAGCAGGGUACAUUGAGGAUAUUGUGGAGAAAUUCAUGAGAUUUAGACAAGAGAAUUCUGUGGUAGAAUACUGGAAUGUAUUUGAAGGGUUGAGGGUGAAAAUGCCUAAGUUGACUGAGGCAUACUUUCUGUCAGCAUUCAUGGGUUGAGGGAUGAUAUCAGACCCACAGUGAGAAUGAUUAAACCUGCAAGUUUGUACCAAGCCUUUGUGGUAGCCAGGUGUUGCAAGAGCAGUUGUUUGAGAGUACUAAGAAGCCUAGACCUCCCUAUAAGCCUUAUUCUUCUUCCAACACCUUUAGAAGUAAUUACCAAACACAAACCUCUUCAGCAAAUUCCUACUCAAACACUAACAAGCCCAAUCAGUUCAGCCAAACACACCCAUACCUACCUAAGCCACUCACCUUAGAUGCUUCAUCCAAUUAGGAACCAUCUCAUUUCAAUCAAAGGUCCAGACCACCACAAAUACACCUAUGAAUGUGCAAACACUAGCCACCUCUCACACUACUUUACCACGUAAUAGAAACAUUUAAACCUUAUUACAAAUAUGGAGAAAAGUAUUUUUUAGGGCAUCAGCGCAAAUUCAAAACUGUUAUAGGAGUACAUGAGGGAGGGUUAGUGAUAAUGGAGAAGAAGUGUGGCAUGAGGCUCCAGAAGUAAUGGAACAAUGGGAACAAUUUGAGGAAACAACCUUGUCUAUUCAUGUAGUAGAAGGAAGCCAGGGGGUGGAAACCAUUAAAAUGUUAGGGGCUCAUAAGAAUAGACAAUUAGCCAUCUUGGCAGAUAGUGAAAGUACCAGUAUAUUCGUAGAUAAGAAGGUGGUAGAUGACUUAGAGUUGCCUCUCAUUCAAAUUACCUCUGUUGCUAUCACUAUGGCAAAUGGAAGAAAAAUAACCUGCAGGCAUCUGUGUCAAUCUUUUGGUUGGAAGGUUCAAAAGCAAUAAUUUUGUUUCGAUCUCAGGGCAUUGGACAUAGGGGAUUUGAUAUAAUUUUAAGAGUGGACUGAAUGAGGAGCUUCAAUCCCAUUUUGUUUGAUUUGAAUCCUCCAAAAUCACAUUCAAAAGGGAGGGAUAGGUGGUGACUCUGUAAGGGAUGGUAGAUUCUGUGGCUGUUGCCAUGCUAGUUCACUGUGAAAAAGUUCAUGAAUUAAUAUACAAGCAGGGGAAGCAUUUUCACUCUUCCUUAUUUCUGAUUUCUGUAAUCAAUUUCACUCAUUCCAAUCCCUACUCCAUCAUUGAAACUGACCAGAAACACUCUGCACUAGAAGCCUUAUUCUAGAAAUAUGAUAUUGUCUUUCAAGAGUCCCACACUCUACCCUCUUUUAGAAGCCAUAAUCAUACCAUUAUCUCUCCAACCUGUUGCUUCUCCUGUCAAUAUCAGACCUUACAGAUACCCCACUAUCAAAAAGCAGAGAUUGAAAAACUUGUUUCAGAAAUAUUAGCCUCUUUUAUUAUAUAGCCCAGUACAAGCUCCUAUGCUUCCCCUGACUUGUUAGCCAAACAAAAGGAUGAGAUAUGGAGGUUUUGUGUGGAUUAUAGAAAACUCAAUGAGAUGACUAUCAAGGAUAAAUUUCCUAUACCUAUAAUUAAAGAUCUCUUGGAUGAGUUAUACGGGGCAGUUGUGUUUUCCAAGUUUGAUCUCAAGGUUGGUUACCACCAAAUAAGGAUGGAUACUUUUACAUCCCUAAAACUGCCUUUAGAACUCAUCAAGAUCAUUAUGAAUUAACUGUAAUGCUCUUUGGCCUCACUAAUGCCCCUGUCACUUUCCAAUCUUUCAUUCCAAUCUUUAAUGAAUGAGAGUUUCAAGCCCUUUCUCAGAAGGAAGUUUGUAUUGUUUUUUUUUUUUUUUAUGAUAUUCUAGUUUACCGCCUUGAUUUGUCCUCUUAUUUGAAGCACCUAGAAGUUGUUUUUCAAGUAUUGCAGAAUCAACAAUUAUUUGCCAAAUAGUCCAAAUGUUCUUUCCUUCAAAGUAAAUUAGAAUAUUUGAGACAUGUAAUCACCAAGGAGGAGGUAGCCACAAACCCAAAGAAUGUAGAAGUUAUAAUUAAUUGGCCAGUUCCACCUUCAGUCAAAGAGUUGAGAAGCUUCUUAAGGCUAACAAAGGUACUACAAAAAUUCAUCUUCCACUAUGGCAUAAUAGCAAAGCCUUUUAGCAAAACCUUUGACAGACUUACUUAAGAAGGAUGCUUUCCAAUGGUUUUUCUCAGCUCAGCAAGCUUUUGUUACACUGAGAAAAGCCAUGACAAAAGCCCCUGUAUUGGCUAUGCCUACUUUUUUCUUAACCUUUUCCAUUGAAACAGAUGCAAGUAAUUAGGGAAUGGGUCCAGUCCUCCGGCAAGAAAGCCACCUUAUUGCCUUUAUUUCUAAGGCAUUUGGUCCUAGAAAUCAAGGACUAUCAGUAUAUGACAAGGAGCUUCUUGCAAUCUCCUUUGCUGUAGGGAAAUGGCAAUAUUAUUUGGAGCAAGGAUGGUUAUUUAUAAAAACUGAUCAUGAGAGUAUCAAAUUUCCCUUAGAAUAGAGAUUGCACACACAGUUACCACAUAAAGGGAUUUAUAAACUUCUGGGUUUGGAUUAUAAGAUUAUUUAUUGAAAAAGAGUGGAAAAUAAAAUUGCUGAUGCCUUAUCCAGGUAGCCUAGUGAAGUAUCUCUUACCUCCUUUGUGCUGCAUUCCUUUAUCAUUCCUAAAUGGAUGACUGCAAUUUCUCACAGUUACGAAGGGGAUGACAAAGCUGUUGAGCUGAUUAGGCAACUUUCGGUAGAUGCUAGUACUUAGUUUGGAUUUCAAUUAAAAAAUGGUUUACUGUACCAUUUGGGCAGGCUUUAUUUAGGAACAAUUACAAGCCUCAGGUACCAACUAUUGGAAUUGUAUCAUGAUUCUCCUAUGGGUGGUGGUCAUUCACAUCAGGCUGAAGAGACACUUUUAUUGGCUUGGAAUGCUUACCGAUGUUGUAAAAUGGAUUCAAGGCUGUAACGCUUGUGUUGGAUGCAAACAUGAGAACAUAGCAAGUCCUGGUUUGGUACAGCUCCUUUUUAUUCCCAAUCAAGCCUGGUAACGUAUCUCUAUGGAUUUUAUUGAAGGUCUUCCUAAAUCUGAGGGUAAGGAUACUAUUUUGAUGGUAGUGUGCAAAUUAACAAAGUAUGGCUUAUUUCUUUGUCUGGGAAAAAGUGGUGGUAAAUCAAGGCAACUGUUGCUCAAUUACAACCCGGAAAGAGUUGGAUAUGAUACCCAAGCUAAAUUUCAAUGUCCUUUUAUUUGGUAAUACCUGAGGAAAUGCCUUAUCGUUUUCCAAGAAAUCUGAUGAAAAAGCUGCUGCUUGCCUGCAAAGCUGAAAGAUACAUAUACAAGCCAUUAGUAUGAUUAUUACAUCUUAAGUUUCAACUUUACCCAACAUAUCUUUUUGUGAAUCCUAAUCCCUGUCAAGUUUUUGUUACUGCAUAGAAAUAUUAUAAUAUCUUCAGUUCAGUAGUUGACAGAUUGGCCUGGCAAGCUCUUAACCAUAUCUUUAGUAACCAAUCUUUCAUAUCAAGUCUGUAUAGAUAAAAUUUUGUGUAAUCCAAUGCUUUGUCAUUCAUCUGCUAUGCAUAAUUUUCUUUUGCUUGCUUCUCA